ACAAUAAUGCACCAGAUGCUCUUGCACACGCUCUUGGCACGAGAGGGAGAGACUGCCUCUUCAGCCCAAUCUCCUGACUAAAGGUUACUUUCACCAGUGACAAACUUAGGAUGAAAGCAACUAAAUAAACUGCUAUAAAUAGACUUAUCACAAAUUGUGGAUAGUUUUCCAGCUUCUAAACAAACUAAAAAAUUCAGUUAUCAGCAACUUGAACUUACCUUUAAAAUCUUAUCUUCGUUGGUUCUAAUGUCUUGUAAAAUUUCAGUAAUCCUUGAAGAAGCAUCGCCACUAUAAUUACAAUAUCCAAACAAAAGCAGUAGGUAUAGACCGAUCAUCUUGCUGCAAUGUUCGAAAGAUGCUGGGCCAACAUACUCAUUGACUUUAGCUUUACCAGUCACCGAUGUCAAGAGCAGUUGCCUCUUUGGUCUACGGUUGGAUGAAAUCUAGAGCCAUCUGGUCCAUGGAAAUCCAAACUAGGCAUUGAGUUUGCAGAACAAAGUAACAGCAUCAGGAUCAGAAUCGGGUUGAAUAUCGCGGCACGUGUCAUGGAACGUGUUGCCUUUGUGGCAGCAGUACAUUGCAAUACAUAACAAUAGGAAAAACGUGAAUUACGUGUCAUGGAUUUGUACAGCAAGCAGCAUGGAUACAAGCCCUUCAACCCAACCAGUCUAUGUCAACCACAUUGUCCAUCCAGCCAGUCUCCUGUUUCCUGCUUUCCAUAUCCCACCAAACCAUACUCCUCCUCACACCUGUCCAAGUUCUUCUUAAAUGGUACUACUGUACCUGCUCCACCAAUUUGUAUUGUAGCACAUUUCAUAUACUGUACCUAUCAUUCUCUGCAUGAAAAAAAUUGCUCUUCAGGUCUCUUUUCAAUAGAUCUCCUCUCACCCUAAACCUACUUUAUGCAUCUAUGUUUUGGUUCUUCCACCCUGAGGAAAAGAUUUUCAUAAUUCAAAAUAUUUCGGUAAGUUUGCCCCCUCAAACUCCAAUGUUCUAAGAGAUAAAAACCUUGUCUGGUCCGCCUCUGCCUACAGCUGAGGUCCUUUAGUCCUAGCAACACCAUUGUAAAUCUUUCCUGCACUUUUUAGGCACAUUUUUCCUAUAAAAAGAUACACAGUUUUCAAAGUGUGGACACACCAAUAACUUACCCAACCACAAUAUAAUAUCCCAGCUCCUAUACUUAGUACUAGGACUGAUGAAUGCCAACAGGCUAAGUGCCUUUUUCACCAUGCACUCUGUCUAUGACACCAUUCUAAGACUAUAAGACUAUAAGAUCUAGAAGCAGAAUUGGGCUAUUUGGCCCAUCGAGUCUGCUCCGCCAUUUCAUCAUGGCUGAUCCAAUUUUACUCUCAGACACAAUCUUCUGCAUUUUCCAUGUAACCCUUCAUGCCCUGACCAAUCAAGGAUAUAUCAACCUCUGCCUUACAUAUACAAUAAGAUUUUGCCUCCGGCAAUGAAUUCCAAAGAUUCACCAGUCUUUGGUUCAAAAAAUUCCUCCUCAUUUCCAGCCUAAAAGGACGUCCCUCUAUUUUAAGCAACACACAUCGAAGUUGCUGGUGAAUGCAGCAGGC